AAGAACUUAGAUCUUAGUAUAGUAAAUUGAACACUUAUCUGCUAAAGUGGAAGGACCCAUGCAAUGUUUAUUUAAGGAUUGUGAGAGGUCAGAGUUGUGCACCAUGUGCCAGGAUACUGGAAUGUGAUGACCAUCCAGAUACCAUGCCAGGGUAGAGUGUUCCUCAGAGCAUUAUGAAUAGUUUAUUCCAAGAGUGACACAGGACAAGAAGGAACAAAGAAGAUCAAAAGAAGGACAUCUCACCAGAAGCACUAGAGACUUCCCAGCUCUUUGUGGGAGAAUCUCUUCAUUAUUCCAAGACUGACAGUCCACUUCUCAGCCAUGAAGAUCUGCCUUCUCAUUCUCUUCUUGAGGUGGCUGGAUUCUUCAAUUCCUCUUCAAACAAGUUGUGCACUAGUUUGAGAUGCUGGAGAAGCCCUGUCAGCUCGUUACACAUCUGUUGGUCUUUUUCAUUUCAGCUGCACACCCAGAAGACGUCUCAUAGGAGUGGCAUGAACUGUCCAAAAGUGCUUUGGGGACAAUUUUUUUUAAAAGAAAGAGACCAGGAGUUUGUGUUUUUCUUUAUCGAGCCACAUGCUAUUUUGUGGGAAAGAAGCUAUCAUAAAAUAGCCUUAUGAUAUCAUUGUAUGAUGUGUUUCUAAUUCAUACGAUUUUGUAAAUUUGUA